GAUGCGUCCGGAUGAAGUCUUCAUCGGCCGUGAACACAAUUCAAAAGGGUCGGUGGGACUUUCGUCCGUUUGCAGA
rnacentral:pre_miRNA from 1 species